rnacentral:rRNA from 1 species
GGGUUGUGAGGUUAAGCGACUAAGCGUACACGGUGGAUGCCCUGGCAGUCAGAGGCGAUGAAGGGCGUGCUAAUCUGCGAUAAGCGCCGGUAAGGUGAUAUGAACCGUUAUAACCGGCGAUACCCGAAUGGGGAAACCCAGUGUGACUCGUCACACUAUCAUUAACUGAAUCCAUAGGUUAAUGAGGCGAACCGGGGGAACUGAAACAUCUAAGUACCCCGAGGAAAAGAAAUCAACCGAGAUUCCCCCAGUAGCGGCGAGCGAACGGGGAGGAGCCCAGAGCCUGAAUCAGCAUGUGUGUUAGUGGAAGCGUCUGGAAAGGCGCGCGAUACAGGGUGACAGCCCCGUACACAAAAGCGCAUGUGCUGUGAGCUCGAUGAGUAGGGCGGGACACGUGGUAUCCUGUCUGAAUAUGGGGGGACCAUCCUCCAAGGCUAAAUACUCCUGACUGACCGAUAGUGAACCAGUACCGUGAGGGAAAGGCGAAAAGAACCCCAGCGAGGGGAGUGAAAAAGAACCUGAAACCGUGUACGUACAAGCAGUGGGAGCCCCACCACCAAAGCAUUCUCUGGUGUUGAAGGCCCUGCAAAGCAGCAUCGCGGUGGCGGAGCGUCGUUUGCGACGCCCAACACACAAAACAAGCGGUGAGUGCUUUGGGGUGGGGUGACUGCGUACCUUUUGUAUAAUGGGUCAGCGACUUAUAUUCUGUAGCAAGGUUAACCGAAUAGGGGAGCCGGAGGGAAACCGAGUCUUAACCGGGCGUUAAGUUGCAGGGUAUAGACCCGAAACCCGGUGAUCUAGCCAUGGGCAGGUUGAAGGUUGGGUAACACUAACUGGAGGACCGAACCGACUAAUGUUGAAAAAUUAGCGGAUGACCUGUGGCUGGGGGUGAAAGGCCAAUCAAACCGGGAGAUAGCUGGUUCUCCCCGAAAGCUAUUUAGGUAGCGCCUCGUGAAUUCAUCUCCGGGGGUAGAGCACUGUUUCGGCUAGGGGGCCAUCCCGGCUUACCAACCCGAUGCAAACUGCGAAUACCGGAGAAUGUUAUCACGGGAGACACACGGCGGGUGCUAACGUCCGUCGUGAAGAGGGAAACAACCCAGACCGCCAGCUAAGGUCCCAAAGUCAUGGUUAAGUGGGAAACGAUGUGGGAAGGCCCAGACAGCCAGGAUGUUGGCUUAGAAGCAGCCAUCAUUUAAAGAAAGCGUAAUAGCUCACUGGUCGAGUCGGCCUGCGCGGAAGAUGUAACGGGGCUAAACCAUGCACCGAAGCUGCGGCAGCGACACUCAGGUGUUGUUGGGUAGGGGAGCGUUCUGUAAGCCUGCGAAGGUGGCCUGUGAGGGUUGCUGGAGGUAUCAGAAGUGCGAAUGCUGACAUAAGUAACGAUAAAGCGGGUGAAAAGCCCGCUCGCCGGAAGACCAAGGGUUCCUGUCCAACGUUAAUCGGGGCAGGGUGAGUCGACCCCUAAGGCGAGGCCGAAAGGCGUAGUCGAUGGGAAACGGGUUAAUAUUCCCGUACUUGGUGUUACUGCGAAGGGGGGACGGAGAAGGCUAUGUUGGCCGGGCGACGGUUGUCCCGGUUUAAGCGUGUAGGUGUGUGUUCCAGGUAAAUCCGGUUCACUUUAACACUGAGGCGUGACGACGAGGCACUACGGUGCUGAAGCAACAAAUGCCCUGCUUCCAGGAAAAGCCUCUAAGCAUCAGGUAACAUCAAAUCGUACCCCAAACCGACACAGGUGGUCAGGUAGAGAAUACCAAGGCGCUUGAGAGAACUCGGGUGAAGGAACUAGGCAAAAUGGUGCCGUAACUUCGGGAGAAGGCACGCUGACACGUAGGUGAAGUGAUUUACUCAUGGAGCUGAAGUCAGUCGAAGAUACCAGCUGGCUGCAACUGUUUAUUAAAAACACAGCACUGUGCAAACACGAAAGUGGACGUAUACGGUGUGACGCCUGCCCGGUGCCGGAAGGUUAAUUGAUGGGGUCAGCGCAAGCGAAGCUCCUGAUCGAAGCCCCGGUAAACGGCGGCCGUAACUAUAACGGUCCUAAGGUAGCGAAAUUCCUUGUCGGGUAAGUUCCGACCUGCACGAAUGGCGUAAUGAUGGCCAGGCUGUCUCCACCCGAGACUCAGUGAAAUUGAACUCGCUGUGAAGAUGCAGUGUACCCGCGGCAAGACGGAAAGACCCCGUGAACCUUUACUAUAGCUUGACACUGAACAUUGAGCCUUGAUGUGUAGGAUAGGUGGGAGGCUUUGAAGUGUGGACGCCAGUCUGCAUGGAGCCGGCCUUGAAAUACCACCCUUUAAUGUUUGAUGUUCUAACGUGGACCCGUGAUCCGGGUUGCGGACAGUGUCUGGUGGGUAGUUUGACUGGGGCGGUCUCCUCCUAAAGAGUAACGGAGGAGCACGAAGGUUGGCUAAUCCUGGUCGGACAUCAGGAGGUUAGUGCAAUGGCAUAAGCCAGCUUGACUGCGAGCGUGACGGCGCGAGCAGGUGCGAAAGCAGGUCAUAGUGAUCCGGUGGUUCUGAAUGGAAGGGCCAUCGCUCAACGGAUAAAAGGUACUCCGGGGAUAACAGGCUGAUACCGCCCAAGAGUUCAUAUCGACGGCGGUGUUUGGCACCUCGAUGUCGGCUCAUCACAUCCUGGGGCUGAAGUAGGUCCCAAGGGUAUGGCUGUUCGCCAUUUAAAGUGGUACGCGAGCUGGGUUUAGAACGUCGUGAGACAGUUCGGUCCCUAUCUGCCGUGGGCGCUGGAGAACUGAGGGGGGCUGCUCCUAGUACGAGAGGACCGGAGUGGACGCAUCACUGGUGUUCGGGUUGUCAUGCCAAUGGCACUGCCCGGUAGCUAAAUGCGGAAGAGAUAAGUGCUGAAAGCAUCUAAGCACGAAACUUGCCCCGAGAUGAGUUCUCCCUGAGACUUUAGGUCUCCUGAAGGAACGUUGAAGACGACGACGUUGAUAGGCCGGGUGUGUAAGCGCAGCGAUGCGUUGAGCUAACCGGUACUAAUGAACCGUGAGGCUUAACCUUACAACGCCGAAG